rnacentral:lncRNA from 1 species
AGAUUCAUUUUCUGCUCAGACACCGUUGCUUGCAAAAUUCCACCCAGAAGAUAAGGGAGGGAGUAUCGCUGCAGCGUCCUGCUCUGUGCCUGGUUAUAUUACUGGAUCCUUGUGUUGCAGCCCUAAGAUAGAAGGAUUGUCUCCAUUUCACAGAUGAGAGAGAACUGAUGCGCAGGAGGCUGAAAUUGUCUGAAGUCACACAGCAGCCUCCUCUUAAACAUGACAAAGAAUCCAAGGACUUGUGCUGGGGCUGUCAGCUGCUAUUCUGGUGCCCUGGGGACGAAGAAGGGAUCUGGAGGGAAGACUGUCACCCUCUUGCGAAUGUUUCCAAGAAGCAGCUCAGCAUGGGAGAGAAAAGGGGAGAUCCCAGUUCCAGGAACACCUGGCCAGUGUUUCACCUGUUUAUCGGAGUUGACAGGACCAGCCAGCCCUUUCCCACCUCUCCCCAUCAUGAUGGAUGGGAGCCUGGCCUUUGAGAACAGAAAGCACAGAACGUGGCACGUUGGAGGAAAUCAAAAGAAAUCUCGCCAUUGCCGGGAAUGGGUAAAUCACUCAGGCCGCGUGGGUCCUUGGCAGAUGGCAGAGGCGGCUUCCCAGUCCCCCACCUGGCACUAGAGGGACGGGGCGCGCACCCAACGGUGGCACGCAUCGCCGAAUUUUCCUGAAUGCCGCUGUGGCACAUUCCUGGCCUUUGCAGUUAUUAGGAAAUGAGAGGAUCUUUUUUCCUUCUACUCUCCCCUCCCCCUGCCUUCGUUUUUCUUCCAGGCAUGGAAUUAUCUACUUUAGCAGUUCAAAAGACAUUCCAUUCCCAUGACAAAGACAGAAAGGGGUGAUGUUGGCAUACUGUAGCCCUCUUUCUCAUAGGGAGACUUGAGCAAUAAAUCAUAAUGAAUGAGAA